GUGUCUGGCAGCUUCCAAUAUUGCUUUCCUGCUGCCAUAAGAUGGCAGGUCUGGCAACAGAACUGGAGCCGGACUUAAGGAGAAAGAGGAAGGAACUUCAGCUCUGGCACCUGCAGACCCCCGAAAGUGACCUACGGAAGCUGGCAGCAGGGACUGCAAUUGAGCAUUCUCUCACCUUUCCCUUCUCAGAGCUCCCCAAGCCUAUGCCCAGGUGGGAAGAGGAUUACCUGAGAGCCAGAAGCCCCGGGUCCCAGCACUUCACUAACCUACCUUGCAUCCCUUCUGUAAAUUAUACACCCCAGCUCUCAGUUUCCCCAUCUCCGGGAUAACAGACUGGACUUGUCCAAGAAUAGCAAUCAUUCCCAAUCCAGUGCCGACGCUGGUUGCUAGAACACGUGGCUGAAGGGAUUGUAUGUUGCUCGGGAUUCUGGGGCCACAUCCAGUGGUAGGGGGUGCUGUGGUUCGCUGGCAAUAUCUGCCUUGGACUCAGAAUGGAGCAUGGUAGACCAGGUGCCACGUCACUGACAUGCAGGAGCUAAAGGACCUUUGCACUCCUGCCCAAUGGAACAUUCCAGCACUUGGAUUCUGUGGGAUGAGAUCUGACAGCCAUAAGGCAGAAGUUACCAACUGGGAAGCUCAUGGAUUCUUCAACAGAAACUCGAGUCAGGCUGAUGAAUUACCUUUACUAAAGGAAUGAAUAACAAUAAAAAAAAUUCUAGGUCCAAGACGUGCCAAGAAAGGUUAGAUAUAUUGGACAAUAUUUUAAAAGGAGAGAUGUUUUGGGUGACCUGCUAUUUUGCUGUCCAGCUUGAGAUGAUGCCAAUGGCCACAGAGUAAUAAAAGGGCCACUGAAUAUGGCCUCGUUCCCAUGGCUCACCAGCAGUAAGCAUCUCUACCACCUCCAUGUCUGGAGCAGGAAUUCCAGCAGGAAGGACGCAGCCUCCAGAACCAUUUGACCAGAAGAUCCAAGUGCGACUGGACUGCUGUGACUGAGGUAUGGGUCUUACUUCUCUCACUCAGAUGUAAACCCACUGAGGACAAAACUCAUGGCUGAUUCAUCUCUAUCAAGCCUACUGCCUGGCAUGUGGAAUGUAUGAAUGAGUGAAUGAACGAGAAGAUGAACAAGGCAAAGCGCUCAUAAGCAUGGCCAGUUUGGCCAGGGAGUAGGCUGUAAGAAGACGUCAGAGCCUUCUGCUUGAAUCUGCUGCCUUGCCGCCCACCCCAGGCUAAGGCACGAAGACCCUCAAAGCUGCUGCUGCAGGUCCUUUGGAGGAGCAGGCAGCUGGGCUCCCUGGCUCUCCCAUCUGGAGCAGGAGGCCCAGGACAGGUGCUUUAAAUACCCUCUGGCCACACCCCCAGCCUACUGCCCCUGGCACCAAUGGUGGCAGAGUCACAGGUCAGAAACCAGGAUUCAGGUCACCCCUUAGAAGGAACAGGGCGUAGAUGGGGACAGAUUGGAUCAGAAAAGGCUGAGGAGGCCAGGUCCAGAGCUGUGCACACCUGGGAGUAACGUGGUAUUUGAGAUACCGAGGACAAAAGAGCUGCGGCUGUCGGGGGCAGGACGCACUAUCAGGGGACCUUAACCUCUGUCCCCAAGAGGGGUUCACACCCCAGGCCACCAGUUUCAGUGGGUUUACACUGGGGCUCUGGGCAGGCGCAGCUCAAGGCAGGUGCUCUGAGGGAGAGCAGGGCUGUGAGGGGCUGGGGAGGCUGGCCCAGAAUCUCCCCAUGCCCGCCUGGAGACUGCAGGCCAACUUCCUGGUCAUGCCCCAGUUCCCAGGAAUUUUCCAGCUCCUGCUUAAUAGCUCCAUCCUCCCUCCAUCUGCCCCCAGCCCACUCCCAGUUUCCAAACAUUUUCUUUUUUGCUUCCAGUUAACCCUUGCUCUGCCCAGUACCGAAUUUCUGUCACUGCCUCCUCCAAGACCUUCUCUUGUAUUUUGCCCAAAGCAGGUGUCAGAACCCUUUCUGGGGGCCGAGCAGCUUGGUGUUGGGAGGCUGUGGUUGAGAUUCCCGGCUCUCUUACUCCCUUCCCAGGGCUUGGGCAAAUUCUUGCCCCCAGUGCCUCCUCUCUGCUUCCUGACUCUCCCUUGAGAGCUUGGACCAUAGACCCCAGCACCCUUCCUGCUCAAGGACACACUCCACUCUGAGUAUACACCCAACAGAAACACAUACAUAUGUUCUCUAAAAGAUGUGUAUUAGAAGCCGGGCACAGUGGCUCACGCCUGUAAUCCCAGGACCUUGGGAGGCCAAGGCAGGUGGAUCACUUGAGCCCAGGAGUUUGAGACCAGCCUGGGCAACACAGGGAGACCCCGUCUACACAAAAAUAAAAAAAAUUAGCCAGGCAUGGUGGCACACACCUGUGGUACCAGCUACUUGAGAGGCUGAGGUGGGAGGAUUGCUUGAGUCUGGGAGGUCAAGGCUGUGGUGAGCCAUAAUUGUGCUUCUACACUCUAGCCUGGGUGACAGAGCAAGACCCUGUCUCAAAAAAAAAAAAAAAAAAAGAAUGUGUAUUAGAAUGACUGUAACUAGCAAUAGUAAGUUCUAUAGUUUGAAAUAUCUGGAGGGAGGAUAUUGAAUGCUCCCAAAACAAAGGAAUGAUAAGGCCAGGCGAGGUGGCUCACACUUGUAAUCCCAGCACUUUGGGAGGCCGAGGCGGGUGGAUCACCUAGGAACAGUUCAGGGGUUCGAGACCAGCCUGGCAACAUGGUGAAACCCCGUCUCACUAAAAAUGCAAAAAUUAGCCAGGCUUGGUGGCAGGUGCCUGUAAUCCCAGCUACUCGGGAGGCUGAGUCAGGAGAAUCUUUUGAACCCGGGAGGUGGAGUUUGCAGUGAGCCAAGAUGGCACCAUUUCACUUCAGUCUGGGCAACAGAGCGAGAUUCUGCCUCCAAAAAAAACAAAGGAAUGAUAAAUGUUCAAGAUGAUAAAUAUGCUAAUUACUCUGAUCUGAUCACUAAACAUUAUGUGUACGGAAACAUCCCUAUGUACCCAUAAAUAUGUACAAUUAUUACAUGUCAAUUAAAAAGAAAAGAGCUAGGCACAGUAGCUCAUGGUGUAAAUCCAGCACUUGGGAAGGCCAAGGCGGAAGGACUGCUUGAGGCCAAGGGUUCAGGACCAGCCUGAGCAACAUACCAAGACUUCAUUUCUAUUGUUUUUAAUAAAUAAAUAAAAGGAGAAGAAAGAAGAUGUGUAUAUAAGAGAACGUUCAUAGAGCACUGUUCCUAAGAACUCCACACUGGAAGCUUCCCAAAUGCCUAUGAACUGAAAAAGAGAAAAUAACAGGUAUAUUGAUGCAGAGGAAUAAUACACAGCAAUGAAAAUGACUGAGUAACAACUCCACACACCGCCAUUCGUGGAUGCCUCUCCUAAACAUGAUUUUGAGCAAAGAAGCACAAUGCAAACUAAAGUGCUUGUUAUGUGGUACUGCUUAGCAAAAGUACAAAAACAGGGAAAUGAAUCUUUGCUGUUUGGAAAUUAGAGUAGUGAUACGCUUGGUUUGGCCCUAGGAUAGUGACUGGGAAGAGCCUGGGGUGGGGUCCCGGGGUACCUGACAUGCUCUUUUGCUGGGUCUGGGUUGUGGUUACAUGCGUGUGCUUGGUUUGUGAAAAUUCAUCAAGCUGUUUCUUACGAUAUGCACCUUUCUGUGUGCAUAUCAUAUCUUGAGAAAAGUUUUAAAAUGAUAAUGUAGAUUUAUAAAAAUCACUUGUAAAAUACAAGACCAUGAUUUUUCUUUUAAAAGCGGGUUUGGGUUGCAAAUAAAGUAGCGCAGCAGAAGCAAGCUGGGCCUAUCAAAACAGGUUGGUUGCAAAACAUGUGCCAUAUCUUGUGGUCCUAUAUUUGUAAGUAAAUCAAUAUAUUCAUUUACUACGCCAGUGGU
rnacentral:lncRNA from 10 species